rnacentral:tRNA from 1 species
UGGAGAAUGGCUCAGUGGUAGAAUACUUGCCUACUGUAUAUGAAGUUCUGAGUUCAAUACCCAGAACUGCCA